rnacentral:antisense_RNA from 1 species
GUAGGAGCGAGCCUGCUCGCGAUGGCGUCAUGUCAGUCGACAUCCAUGUCGAUUGUCAGUCCGCAUCGCGAGCAGGCUCGCUCCCAC